ACAAACUCGGUGAACUCGAGCUGCUGGCAGCCGACCAACUGCUGUCAAAGUUGAUCCUCUGGCUGAAAGGCCUGUUUUCUUUUCUGCUCGCUCUCCAUUCAGCUCGGCCGGCUUCAGUGGCACCACACGUACGACUGCUGGAGUGAAGUAACGCUGCGUUUCACCGGUCGCCUGUCGAUGGCGUCACCUCCUGAACCAUGAACACUGAAGGAAUCCUACCCGGGAGCAGCUGACUGUAAUGGUGGACAACAACUCCCAUGAUCCCACGCUGCUUCACCACCUCAUUAAACUUUAGUUUCAAUGUACAAUGAAAUGAUCUUAUUCCUGUACUUUAAUCUGUUGUAAUGUCUGUAUUCAACUCUUUUACCACCAAACUAAUAAAUCAUAUUUCACAUA